rnacentral:lncRNA from 1 species
GUGACACACAUCCACCAAUAUCUGACGCUAAUCCAACGCGCACGUGCUGCUGUUAAUGGAGUUCAGAUAUUAACAGUUAACCAUUGAAUGGACGCGCAACCCGCGCACCGCAGCGGCCGCCGUCUCGCCUCCGCCACAGUUAUUCCCCAGCUCGCGUCGCACGCGCCAGCGGCGUCAAUAAACGUACGUUAGCACAAACCGUGCGCAUCCGAAGGCAAAAGGUUUAAAAAAAAAAGAGGCAACAUUUACGUCUAGACCUCGGUCACGCAAACGCACGCACACGCGCGCAUCGCGGCAUGAUUCAUUCUGCCAGCGAACCGCACGCAGGCUGCUACAAUGUAGCCUCCGAGCCCCGACGCGCGGAGAUCAACGCGGCAUCUGUUACUGGAGAAAUGCACAACCUGCUCCGCAGCCCGCCGGUCCAAUCCCGACGGCACGGCGCCGCGUGGUAGUAAAUAAGAAGAGACGAAGAAGAAGCCGCGCGUCACCGUUCCGGGCUCCGACGCGCUCCCGUGCGCUGCUCCAAGUGGUCACUCUAUUGUUGAGAAACAAUCUGAGCCAAAGUGGAAACAAAACCUUCCCGAGACAAGAGGCUCGCGGCGCGACACCGGGAACGGGAACGUUAAGUUUGCAGCUACUCACCGGGUUCGUAGGCGAAGAAAGUCCUCGGUAACGAUGGGCUCUGGCGUGUGUUUUUUUAAAUAUCUUCCCCCCUCACGGCCACUGAGAACGGGCGCAACGUCAGUGGGGACCUAUGCUCGGUGGCUGCUGACAAAAUGUGUCGCGGAUUCUGCGCGGAGGAGACGCCAGCGGGGGGGGAGGGAGCGGAGCGGAGCCGAGCUGUCACUCCGCUCCGCGACCAUCUGGGUCUGCGACUGUGGCACCGACCCGGUCCAAGACGGUUCGCCGUACGCGUUCCGUACAGCUCGUCGCCGCUCUCUGAUGGAAAGCUCUGAAUAACAAAGACAUGUUUGAGAGCAGCAGCGGCGGCGGCGGCAGGCUGGGCCUGAGCGGAGCGGAGCGCUGACGUCAAGGAGCCGUGACUGUGCCAAGCAGCAUCCAGACCCCAGGCCCACCAGACGCGCGCGCGCGCGCGCGCACACGCGUACGCACGCUGGAGCGCUCGUGCCCCCGUGGCCUGUUUGGAAACAGCCCCGUGAUAAAAGUUCCAAACACGCCACCGUCCAAGCUGUGAGUGACUCUCUGGGAGUUGGGGUGUGAUGAGAGUCAGAGUGCACGUCCUUGGGAGUCACCGUUCAGCUGAAGCUGCUGUGUUUGGACUCCUCUUAGACCUCUUCCUUUUUGGCCUGUGUCUCUAGCCCAGCUGUCUAAGUUAGGGGGAGGGAUGGACUGGAACAAUAGGCGCCAUUUGUCCUACUAAAAGGUGACAGGAAGCAUUGAUUUCAGCCUGUUCCAGGCUUUAAGCCAUGCCCGAACUGGCUAAUGUGAACAUUUCCCACCGACGAACAUUGGACAUUUUCUGGGUAAUUGUUAUUCACAGUCGUAGCAGGAUGCAGGGGUGAACCUCAUCCAUUUCACUCAGCUUUUACAUGUUUUAUUGCAUCUCAUGUUCAAUAGGUGCAAGAUGUUUAAAAGCUAUAAUAAAAGUAAACAAAGGGGGGGUGAAAAAAAUUAA